rnacentral:misc_RNA from 1 species
GCAAAGUAAAAGGUAAGUUCUAUAGAAUUAUGGUUAGACUAGCUAUAUUGUAUGAAAGUGAAUUUUGGGCAUCUAAGGUACAAUAUAUUGACGAGUGUGAUAGAAAUGCGGAUGUUAAGAUGGAUAUCUAGUAACACUAUAAUGGAUAAAAUAAGGAAUGACCAUAUUCGCUAAAGAGUACAUGUAGCGCGCAUUGAAAAUAAAAUGAGAGAUUAUCGAUUAAGAUCGAUUGGUCAAGUCUAAUAUAGAGCAUUGAUUGUACUAGUAUGCAAGUGUGAUAAUUUAGUGGUUUAAAGAGUGCGAAGGAAA